rnacentral:rRNA from 1 species
UGGGGAAUAUUGGACAAUGGGCGCAAGCCUGAUCCAGCCAUACCGCGUGGGUGAAGAAGGCCUUCGGGUUGUAAAGCCCUUUUGUUGGGAAAGAAAUCCUGUCGGCUAAUACCCGGUAGGGAUGACGGUACCCAAAGAAUAAGCACCGGCUAACUUCGUGCCAGCAGCCGCGGUAAUACGAAGGGUGCAAGCGUUACUCGGAAUUACUGGGCGUAAAGCGUGCGUAGGUGGUUCGUUAAGUCUGAUGUGAAAGCCCUGGGCUCAACCUGGGAAUUGCACUGGAUACUGGCGGGCUAGAGUGCGGUAGAGGAUGGCGGAAUUCCCGGUGUAGCAGUGAAAUGCGUAGAGAUCGGGAGGAACAUCUGUGGCGAAGGCGGCCAUCUGGACCAGCACUGACACUGAGGCACGAAAGCGUGGGGAGCAAACA